AUUUUGUCUCACAGUGACACAUCAACCCUUUCUAAUUAAAUACACAGAGGGAGCAGCACAGGAAGAGGUCAUUCAGCCCAAGCAGAGCGUGUGGGCAGUUCCUCCCCAGGCGAGCAGUCGGACAGGUCCUGGAGUUUGAGAGUGAGAAGUGAAUGGCAUAUCUGGGAGUGGACAAUGAUCGGGAAAUCUUACUUCCUCCUGUCACUUCUCCAAGUUGGACUGUCACAAGAGUGGAAAGUUGACAC